rnacentral:lncRNA from 1 species
UUCACCAGUCAGAAGACUGGAGGUCUUGAAAUCUUUGCAGAUGCAAGUUUUGGAAGUGACACCACGGAUGGUACAAGCACUUCUGGAGUAUGCUACAUGUACAACCACUGCCUGUUUGACUGGUUGUGCAAGAAGCAGACGACAGUGAGCCUAAGUUCCUGUGAAGCAGAACUCAAUGCUCUGUCAUUUUCACUCAUGGAUUGUGAAUGGUUGAUGCAACUGUUUAAGGACAUCACAGUUUCUGUGAAAUGUCCUGUACAAGUGUAUCAAGACAAUAGAUCGUGUUUGGCUUUGCUGAACUCGGAGAGUUGCAAGCAAAGAACCAAGUACUUGCAGAUUAAGCUACAUCGUGCAAGAGAGUGUAUUCAGAAAGGACUCAUUCAGGUGUCCUACAUGCCAGGAAAUGAAAUUCCUGCUGAUCUGUUGUCUAAGGUUGUUAACAGAGAACAACUUAAGGUUUAUGUACAAAGGUUGCAAUUGGGUUGAACCACAGGUACUCAAGUUCAAGUUCAAGUUUAUUGCGGCCAAAGCCAGUGACACUAGACACCAUAAGAUCAGACAACAAAAAAUCAGCAACAACUUCAGAAAAGAAAAAAGGUUACACAAGAGAACUUCACAGUGUGCCAUUCAACAGAAGAGAUUUACGCUUCUUAAUUACUAAAGUGCAAAAUUUAGCCACCUCAUAUGAUACUGAGCUUGAGGAAUCUUCCAGGAGGUAUUUUCGAAGAAUUUCAGGGGAGGAUUCCAAAUAAUAUUGAAGGGGUAUAAAUUUUGAUAGAAGCGGUAAAAUAAGUUGAACUCGUUCUUCACUAUAGAAUUCGCAAGAUAGAAGAAUGUGUGUGACAGAUUCUACCUUAUUAGACAUACAAGGGCAGAGACGCGCAUGCAUUGGAACUCGCGUGAAUUUGCCGUACAGCACUGCUGAGGGCAUUGUCUCAAAGCGGGCUCUAGAGAAAGCCCAUCUAUAGGUUUCGUUAGUGAUGUUAGUUAAGUAGGGGCAGCUGCAAAAUUAGGCCAAGCUUUUAAACAUCUAUACGUCUCUGGGAGUAGGGCGCCUUCUUGUUGUAAUUCGAUAUCAUAAAGUCUCCGAGUGAUAGUAGCUUUUGCCUUGUUCAGAGUUCCAAUAAAAAUAUUUUCAGGGUUUAGGCCAAUUUGUUUGAUCUUGUUAGUUAUUUGCAUAAGCCAAGGAGGAUAGGGAACUGCGGCCAGGAAGCAAGGUAAUAGACCCUUAGGAUUGUAAUGGAUUUUCAGCCAGAGGGAUAUUGCUUGUUCCCAUACUUUUAAUUCCACUCUGGGCAGUCCUGCCUCUUGCCUUAAAACUGCAUUAGGUGUACACUUAGGAGUAGCAAAUAAUGAUCUUAAGAAUUUAGAUUGUACUGUUUCAAGGGUCUUAAGGUUGGCAGAGGGGCUAAUUUGAGAGCCAUAUAGAAGUUGGGCUAAAGAUUUUGCCUGAAAGACUGUUAGGGCCAUCGGGAGGAAGCCAGCUCCUUUCCUUCUGAAUAAUCUAAGGAUAGCAUUUGCACUUCUUUCUGCUGAUAUAGCUGAUGUGGUCAAGUGUGUUGAGAAUUUGGCAUUAUAAGAGAAAGUAAUGCCUAAGUAUUGGAAGGUCUUAGUCUGUUCAAUGGCGUUUCCCUUUACGCUCCAAUUAUCCUUCCUAAAGGAGCGGUUAAAAUGUACAAUUUUGGUUUUGGCAAAGUUAAUUGUUAACAGUUCAGUGUUACAUUGGUCACUAAACUUUCCUAAGGCACGUUUCAGACCCACUUUGGUUUGAGAGAGAAGAACAGCGUCAUCCGCAUACAUUAAAAUUGGUACUUUUCUGCCAUUAGAGAACACAGGGGGGUGGGUUUCAAUUUCACGGCAGCAUGUAACCAGGGAGUUAACAUAGAUAUUAAAUAGGAAUGGGGCUAAUAGGCAUCCUUGUCUAACUCCUCUUUGAACUAGAAUUUCUCUAGAGAGUCUGCCGUCCUGUGCAAGUCUUAUCUGGAGGGUAUUGUUCUCAUGAAGCUUAAUCAUCAGAAGUAAUAACCUUCUGUUAAUACCCAUAUUGGCCAAUUUGGCCCAGAGCCUGCUCCUGGAUACAGAAUCAAAUGCUGCCUUUAAGUCCACAAAGGCCGCAUAUAAUGACUUUUUCCAAUAUUUCGCAUACUUAUAGACAAAGUAAUCUAACACUAAGCAGUGAUCAAUGGUGGAACGUCCGGAUGUAAACCCUGCUUGUUCAAUUUCUAGCAGGUUAUUAUGAUCUAACCAUUCCCAUAAUUUUAGGCAUAGAUGUUUUGUAUAAAGUUUACAGAUCACAUUCAGGAGACUAAUUGGUCUAUAAUUAGAUGGAUCAGAGGGGUUGCUCUUUUUAAAUAUGGGAACAAUUAUAGCUAGUCCCCAAUCUUUAGGGAUUUCAGUUGUCUUAUCUAUAUAUGAAAAUAGAUUAGCAAGGACCGGGGCCCACCAGUUUAUUUGCGCUUUCAGAAGUUCAGCGACAAUGAAAUCACUUCCUGGGGCUUUGCCAGAUUUCAUUUGUAGAAUUAGCGAAGUGAUUUCAGUUUCAGAUGUUGGGGGCCAUGGUGUAUCAUUAUCUAAGGGGAUGUUAAGCGGCGCAGAAGGACGAUGUUCCCUAAACAGCACUUUAUAGUGCUCUUCCCAUGAAUUUGCAGGGAUUAUUGUGCCCUCAUUAGGAGCUUUGGUUUGACUGGAGAUAAUUUUCCAGAAGUUGGAAUUGUCUUUUUCUAUUGACGCUUUUAUGAGGGCCUGCCAAAUGAGAGAGUCUGCGGUUCUUUUUUUGGUUUUUAAUAACUCUUUGUAGUUCUUUUUUUAAGUUGUAACUCCAAUUUAGUGAUAGGGUUAGGAUUUUGCUGGAAGACCUUAAAGCAUUCCCUGAGUAUAAGUUUUGCCUGAGUGCAUUCGUGAUCAAACCAUUUUUUGUUGGUAGGGGAGUCAUUUUGGUUAGAUCUUCUGGGUCUUGACAAUAACGGUUGGAGUUUUCGGAUUAAUGUAUUAUAAUGUUCAUUUGGGAGGUCUCUUCAGUGUCGUUGGAAGUCAGAUCAGCCCAGAGGAGUUGACCUUCCAUUGAUUGUGUCCAAAUACCAAAAUGGUUAUUAACAUAAGGGGACCAUUUAAUUCUGGAUCUGCCUAUUUGUUGUAAAGCGCUAGGAUCAGGAGUCUGCGGGGCAAGCCCACAUCUAGAGGGUUCCCAAAAUUCAGUCCUUUUAAGAUUUAGGGGUAAAUGGUCACUUUCGGUUCUUAUAUCUACAGCAAAUUCAAUAUAUUCAUCGAAGAGUUCUUGGGAGACAAGGAUGUAAUCAAUAACAGAGUGCCUGUACAAGUGUAUCAAGACAAUAGAUCGUGUUUGGCUUUGCUGAACUCGGAGAGUUGCAAGCAAAGAACCAAGUACUUGCAGAUUAAGCUACAUCGUGCAAGAGAGUGUAUUCAGAAAGGACUCAUUCAGGUGUCCUACAUGCCAGGAAAUGAAAUUCCUGCUGAUCUGUUGUCUAAGGUUGUUAACAGAGAACAACUUAAGGUUUAUGUACAAAGGUUGCAAUUGGGUUGAACCACAGGUACUACAGGUUACACGGAAAGGGGGAGGAGGUUAGGAUAUUUCCGUUCCACCUUAAAAGGGAGCAGGCUGUGAGUCACAGAGUCUGCGUAUUUCCUGUUCACAGGAUGUUUAUGUUUUCUGUUGCUUUCGUUUUCUCUCUGUGUCGCAGACACUAAAGCAGGCAGUCAUGUUUUUCUGUGUUCUGAUCAACGCUGAAUAAACUUGUAAAUAAUGCUCUCCUGAUUGCAACUUUUGGCUGUGCAUUAUCUGCUGAUAGAGCGUGCAUGAGCUCUGGAAUGUGGCAAGAUAUUUUCUAGAAACUCAUGUCGCUGCGUGCCUACGGGAGGUCGAUGGAUCGUCCGGCAGACGGCUUGGGGGCCUUGAUGGACUUUAUCUCCCUGGCAGUAUCCCAACACCAAGUGGCGAUAGCGACAGCGAAGACUUUCUUCACCGCCUCUAUUGCAUCUGCAGAAAAUAGUAGCAGGAGACUCUUUCAGGUGGUUCACAAUUUAACGGAACCACCUUUACCACUAGGGCCUUGUAAAGACCCCAAGAUCUCCUGCUAUGUUUUUGCAAAGUUUUUUGCAGAUAAAGUCACUCAGAUUCGGAAGGAGGUAGACACCACCAUGGGAGCAGGGCCGGGGCAGGAGAGUGCUAGAGCCCUGUCUGGUCAAGUUGCAUGUAAUCAAUUUCAAUCCGUUACCCCCGAUGAUGUGGACAGGCUGCUUGGACGAGUGAAACCAACCACCUGUCUUCUUGAACCUUGCCCAUCCUGGCUAAUAAAAGCAAGCCAGGACGGGCUGGGCGAUGAGCUCUGCAGGGUGGUGAAUGCUUCCCUCUGUGAGGGAGCAUUCCCUGAUCCUCUGAAAGAGGCGGUCAUUAAACUGCUUCUUAAAAAGACAUGUUUAGACCCGGCCAGUAUGGCCAUCGCCCAGUCUUAAAUCUUCCAUUCUUCGGCAAGAUGAUUGAGCGGGUGGUUGCUGUACAACUCCAGACACACCUGGAGGAUGCGGACCAUUUGGAUCCCUUCCAGUCGGGAUUCAGGCCUCAUCAUGGGACUGAAACUGCCUUGGUCGCGCUGGUUGUUGAUCUCCAGCGGGCUAGGGACAAAGGUGAGAGCUGCUUCCUAGUUCUGCUGGAUCUCUCAGCGGCCUUUGAUACAAUCGACCAUAACAUCCUUCUGGACCGUCUAGAGGGCCUGGGAGCUGGGGGCACUGUUAUGCAGUGGUUCCGCUCCUUCCUCCUGGGCUGUGUUCAGAAAGUGGGGGGGGGAUGAGUGUUCAGACCCCUGGGCCCUCACUUGUGGGGUGCCUCAGGGUUCCGUCCUCUCCCCCAUGCUUUUUAACAUCUAUAUGAAGCCGCUGGGAGAGAUCAUCAGGGGGUUUGGACUGGGUGUCCAUCAAUAUGCAGAUGAUACCCAGCUCUACCUCUCUUUCAAAUCAGAACCAGUGAAGGCAGUGAACGUCCUGUGUGAGUGCCUGGAGGCGGUUGGAGGAUGGAUGGCGGCUAAUGGAUUGAGGUUGAAUCCUGACAAGACAGAAGUACUAUUCUUGGGGGACAGGGGGGCGGGCUGGUGUGGAGGACUCCCUGAUCCUGAAUGGGGUAACUGUGCCCCUGAAGGACCAGGUGUGCAGCCUGGGAGUCAUUUUGGACUCACAGCUGUCCAUGGAGGCGCAAGUCAAUUCUGUAUCCAGGGCAGCUGUUUAUCAGCUCCACCUGGUAUGUAUACUGACACCCUACCUGCCCGCAGACUGUCUCGCCAGAGUGGUGCAUGCUCUAGUUAUCUCCCGCUUGGACUACUGCAAUGCGCUCUACGUGGGGCUACCUUUGAAGGUGACCUGGAAACUGCAAAUAAUCCAGAAUGCGGCAGCUAGACUGGUGACUAAGGGCGGCCGCCGAGACCACAUAACAACGGUCUUGAAAGACCUACAUUGGCUCCCAGUACGUUUCCGAGCACAAUUCAAAGUGUUGGUGUUGACCUUUAAAGCCCUAAAUGGCCUCAGUCCAGUAUACCUGAAGGAGCGUCUCCACCCCCAACAUUCUGCCCGGACGCUGAGGUUAAGCGCCGAGGGCCUUCUGGCGGUUCCCUCAUUGCGAGAAGCAAAGCUACAGGGAACCAGGCAGAGGGCCUGCUCGGUAGUGGUGCCCGCCCUGUGGAACGCCCUUCCAUCAGAUGUCAAAGAGAUAAACAACUACCUGACAUACAGAAGACAUCUGAAGGCAGCCCUGUUCAGGGAAAUUUUUAAUGUGUGACAGUUUAGUGUAUUUUUGGUCUUUGUUGGAAGCCGCCCAGAGUGGCUGGGAAAACCCAGCCAGAUGGGCGGGGUACAAAUAGUAAAUUUAUUAUUAUUAUUAUUAUUAUUAUUAUUAUUAUUAUUAUUAUUAUUAAUACUAUUUUGUGUUCUUUUGUAACAUGAGUCUCCUGCAAACAAAUCACAUCAAUCUUUUGUUUAAUCAGUAUAUGCUCUAUUUUCUUUUUUUUUCUUAUCAUUUAAUCCAUUAACAUUCCAUGACAAAAAAUUUUAGUUCAUCUUUAUUCGUUAAUAUAUAUUGUAUCACAAAAUUAAUUUACAUUUUUUAGGGGGUAUAGCUCAGUGGUAGAGCAUUUGACUGCAAAAUUAAUUUACAUUUUUUAUAUUUGGCAGUUAGGUAUGUAACUUUUUGUUAGGUGUUUACUCACUCUCUGAACUGUGUUCUGAGUUUGUGUUUUUUGGAUUUUGUUGGCUGGACUCUUUCUUUUAAAUAUCUAUCGCCCCCUAAUUCAUUUUUGUACGUUCUAUAAAAUUUUCCGCGUCUUCCACCAUUUCCAGUCUUCUUCUUUUCCCUUUUAAAUUAAAAGAAAUUCCUUCCGGAAAUUCCCAUUUAAAAAAUAUUGACUUCAUUUUUAGGGCUCUUGUCAGGAAUUGGUAUUUUUCUCUCUUUUUAAGCAAACGAGGAAGGAUCUCCUUCAAAAUUAUAAUUUUCUCUCCCCCAAUUUUAAACAGUUUUUUUCCUUCCGUGCAAUAGUAUCCUGUUCCUUAAUUUAUUUGAUGUAAAUGUAAUUACACAGUCCCAUGGCCAUUUAUUCAUCUUUGCUUUCCUGGAAUUUACUCUGAAUAGACUUUCUGUAUUAUCUGCAAUUUCAUUUUCUUUUAUUUCUAACCAAUUGGCUAGUUCUUUUAUAAUAGUGUUUUGUACAUUCUCUUCCAGAUUCUCUGGGACACCACGUAGCCUGAGAGUUCUUUCUUUAAUUUGCAUUUGAAGAAUAGAUAGUGCAUCUCAGGUUGCUUCCUGAGUAACUUUAGUCAUCAUUUUCCUUUUUGACCUUGUCCCAUUCUCUCUUGCUUUCCCUUAAAUCUUUAGAGGAGUUCUUAGAGAAUUCUUCUAAAUGUUGCGUUUUUAUUUUAAGUUCCUGAACCGUUUUUGUUAACUCUUUCUUUUCCUCUGAGAAUUCCUUUGCUUGUUCUUUCAGUUCUAUAAUUGAUUUUGUAUUAUCAUCUAUUUUCCCCAUCUUAUCUAAUUUGUCAUCUAUUCCUUUCACUUUAUUAUUCAUUUUCAGCUUGUGAUCAUUAAAUUCUUUCUUCAUUUCUCCUAUAUCAUUCUUCAAGCUUAAUUUAAGAUCUCUCAAACCCAUUUCUUGUUCAAGUCCAGAAUUCCUUUUACCUUGCUGGUUAUAAGUUGGACCUAUAUUGUGUUUUCUGUUUGAUGACAUGAGAUCCUUUUCUUUUGUAUCUUAUAGGAUUGUUAAAUUUAAUUCUUUAGUUAUCUAUUUUUUCUUUAGAUGAGAUUUUUUUACACCAGAUAUCAAUUGACACAUGAAAUUGCAAAAUUACAUAACCAACUUCCUCUUUCCCACCAAUUUAUUUGCACAAAACAUCAAUUAGCACAUGAAAUUGCAGAGCUACCAAAUCAACUCCCUCUUUCCCAUCAACUAUUCCCCUGGAAUAGUUAAAGCCAUGGUUUUCCCAGUAGUGAUGUAUGGAAGUGAGAGCUGGACCAUCAAGAAGGCUGAUCGCCAAAGAAUUGAUGCUUUUGAAUUAUGGUGCUGGAGGAGACUCUUGAGAGUCCCAUGGACUGCAAGAAGAUCAAACGUAUCCAUUCUUAAGGAAAUCAGCCCUGAGUGCUCACUGGAAGGACAGAUCGUGAAGUUGAGGCUCCAAUAUUUUGGCCACCUCAUGAGAAGAGAAGACUCCCUGGAAAAGACCCUGAUGUUGGGAAAGAUGGAGGGCACAAGGAGAAGGGGACGACAGAGGACGAGAUGGUUGGACAGUGUUCUCGAAGCUACAAACAUGAGCCUGACCAAACUGCGGGAGGCAGUGGAAGACAGGAGUGCCUGGUGUGCUCUGGUCCAUGGAGUCACGAAGAGUCGGACACGACUAAAGGACUAAACAACAACAACAUUCCCCUGGAUUGCUGGAUAAAUCUAUUAAUCUGAAGAGUAUUUCCAAAUUUUGUAUAUACCAGUUCUUUUCCAUUUCAAUUACCUCUCACUAAGGAAAAAAAUUCUAUUUGUUAUGUUUCAGAUUUCUUUUUAUAAGAUUUUUGUUGUAUUUGUUAUACCCUUCUAAUUUUUAUUAAUCUGAAAAAAAAUCCUUCCCUUUUCUUCACCUCUAUAUUUUAUUCUAAAUUCAAUUAAAGCAUGGCACAAUUUUUCCCUUAUUAAUAUCCACCAAUUCCUUAUUAAUAUGUACCAAAGAGAACCAUCCUUUUUACACUCACAGUCUCUUGCAAUACACAAUUGUUCGGGCAAAGUUAAAGUUCAAUGAAAUUAGAUGAUUUUCUGCUGUUCACCACUUGGUGUCGCUGUCUCUGUUUUCUGAAGUCUUUGUGGAGAGCUGUCUGUCUUUAACUUUAUAGUCCUUCUCCUUUUUAGUCUGGUUCCAUCCCUCCUUGCACUGCUUUUCUUCUCUUCCUGAGUCUUCAAUUAGUCCAGCCCUUUCUCCUAAACCACGCUACAUCAUAUUUGCCAUCCUUAUAGGUUAGUGUUUAACCUAAGUUCAAAAUUAAAAGUGUUGCCUUCUCUUUCUUCCUUUGUUUUCCUGUAUCUUUCCCUUUCCCUCCGCUAGCAGUGCUGACGGUUUAAGUCCUUUAAUUCAGCUUCUUUCACUGGGCUAACACCGCUGCAGAGUGAAGCAUGAAAACUAUUCUCCUUUUCUUACUGGUACUUGCUGGAGAUUUCUGCACUGUCAUUUAAGUAUAAUACGAAGGAUUUCCGAUCUAUUUAAAAUAAAGUCUCCCAAUCUUUACUCUUUAUGCGCUGAUCCUUCAGGGUCUGUUUAAAAUACUAGGCAGGUCGCUUUAUAUAUGUAGACCUCACAGACCCUCUUCUCCUUAAUCUCUCCUUAUUAGCUUUGUCCUUAGUUAAGGGGAUUGAGGAGGUUGGAAUCAUAGAAUCAUAGAAUCAUAGAAUCAUAGAAUCAUAGAAUCAUAGAAUCAUAGAAUCAUAGAAUCAUAGAGUUGGAAGAGACCACAAGGGCCAUCGAGUCCAACCCCCUGCCAAGCAGGAAAUUUUGCCGCCGUUCUUACCGUUUGGGGUUUUGAGGCUUGCUGUUGAGGAUUGCUCGUCUCCUCGCGUCUGGGUACUCUCCAUUGACUCGCCUCCUACAUGGGACGCGAGCUUCAGAGGGUUCCCUUUUCUGACACUGCCGGACAGUGUCGGUUCUGGGUCACCCCCAGAGCCUUUUUGGGGGUAGCAGAGCCUCCGCAGAGCCCCCUAAAAUUUCCUCUAACAGCUGCUGAGUGCGGAGAACCCGCAGAGCACACCCGCAACAGAAGGCAGAAAAACCGGAAGCCACAUAUAAUUUGGCAUUUCAGUGAUUGGCAUUCAUAACUGUUGUAUAAUUUGGUAUUGUUAUAAUGAGGCUAUUAUUGGAUUGUAAUUGAAAACUAAUAAAACAUUAUUUAAAAAAAGAUCAAGGGCCUAGUGGCUGCUGAUUUUACUGCUGGAUUGUUUAAGAAGGUUUGUAGUUAGCCAGGAUAUUUGGGUGUCCCCUAGUUUGUCUUGUAUUUCUUGUGUCAAUAUGUGUUUGUUUGUUAGGUGGUAUAGGCCUUUGGCUUGCCAAGUUUUUAUUUGGAAGCUUUGUGCUGCGUGGUGGAAUAGUGGGUGAUAAGCUAGGGGAGUUAGUUAGGAUGGGUUGGAGACAGUUUUCCUACUUUUUCCUUCCAUGCUUUGAGCAUGGACUGUGUGAACCUGUUUAGAUUUUCCUUUGUUUGUUUUGGAGGAAUGGGCAUGCUGUGGUGGGCAUGUUUUCAGUUGUGUCUAUCUCCAAGUGUAUCCGUUGUUUUGUCUCGUCUUCUAGAAUAUAUGGGAUUAUGUGGCACACCUGGUUGACGAUGUAGUAUAAUUCUGUGUUGGAAAUUCCCCUUCCUCGAAUUUGUGUUCAUUUCAUGCAAGAUGGUGCUAGAUCUGUAACUGGACCAGAUAACUUGCAAGCAAGCAAUGGCUAGCUAGCUGUCUGCUUGCCAUAACUUUAUUCCUUCUAGAAUGCAUGAUGCAUGACUAUGCUGUAAUUAAUCAGGUGUUAAUGAAAGUGUCAUUCAGAACUGCAGCGUUCAAGUUGACUUCAUGUCAGGGACCGUGCUGAGGAGGGCUGCACUGAGGAGGAAUGGUGGAAGCCACCCCUCCCCCUGAUCCUGAAUCUUCCCAGGAGCAGGAGGACGGUAUAGAUUUGGAACAGUGUUUUGCAGAGGCGCAUAGUUCAGAAGGCAGAAGCUGGGAAAUACUGGAUGAGGAACAGCUAGGAGAAGAAACACUGGAAGAGAGAGAGGGUUAACAGAUUCACAGUCAUUGGACAGCAUUCUUCCACCGCUCUCCCCAACGUCAGGAAUAGCUCAGAAAGUGUCAGAACAGAAAGCACAGAGGGUAUAAGCUCAGCUUACAAGAUGUAGGAGUGACGUAGAUUAAUAGGGACGGAGGGGGGAGUGAGCCUUAAUUGGGAGCACCACCAUUCCUAGGGAGACGUGUUCUCUUGUCUCUCACUAUUAUUAUUAAGAGCCUAACUGGUAAGACGUUCCUUUCGUUUGAUCUUAUUUACUGCUACAGGGGGAGGAAGCCGAUUCCCUGAAGCCUGACACUUCAUCCUCUUAGGAGGGAAGACCAGAAUUUCAGGGUUAUUACCAGACUGCUGGGCUUUGCUCAGCUCUGUGUCCCCAGUACUCAAAGUCAAUCUGUAUCACAAGGGACUGUUGCUGGGGGUUCUGCUCAUUUCCCCUCCAUGUAUGUACUGAAAGUGGGGGUGGCUGCAAUCAUCCUCUGUUCUCUCACACAAUAGAGUUUUAAACAGAACAAAGCAAGCACCUAGUCCUCGGGUGCAGAACCUUUUUCAGUCUGAGGGAUGCAUUGCCUUCUGGGGGCCACAUACCAGUGGUAGGUGGUGCCAGAAGCAAUAAGGGGCAGAGCAGUUAAUAUAAAAAAUACCUCUGGAUGUAAGAAUACUUCCUACACACAGACACACACCUCUUUAUCCUCAGUUCAAGCAAGCCAGAGUUUAAAGACUUAUUCCAGCCAGGCAAAAAUCAGUCAAGGAGAAUGUGAAGUAAGGCUGAAGUAAGGUGUGUGAGCAGGGGAUAGUGCCAAGGGCCAAAGAGGGGCCUGGAGGGUCACGUUUGGCCCCCAGAUCUGAGGUUACACCCCCACCCCUACUGUAAAUUAACAAAUAUUCUUGCUGGGCCAGUAGCUGUUGGGUGGGUUGAUUUCAGGCAGGUGGGAGACAACAGUGUCAGGUUUCUUCUAGGAAAUAAACUUGGCACAGGCAGCUGUGCAACUUUGGGAACAUCACAGUACAGUCUUAUCUGUAUGUUAUGCCAAAAUAAAUAAUAGGUGCCAACAAUUCUGGGACAAGUAUCCAGGUGAUUUGCUUUACCCACAUUCAUUGAUUUCUGUCUGCAGUUGAUGUUUCCAAAGAGAUAUGGAAGCCAGCCCCAGUGGUGUUCCAACGGACAUAGGGAAUUGACACUAUGUCUCUUUUGCUAUUUUAGAAUUACAGAUUAUAAUGGCUGGAAAUGUUAGCUGAAAAGGCUAUGUAUUUGAUUGGCCCUUUGACCCUGGACAGAAAUCAUCUGUAUCUAUUUUUUUUUAAAGCAGCAACUUUGUUUACCUACAGUCUCAUUUUACAGCCUGAAGACAGCAUCAAAGUGAUCAGCACAGCUGAGCACACUGCUUCUCCCAGUCACACAAUCACAGUAGCAUUACAACACUUUCUGGCACGGGCCUCCUUGCAUCCAGCAACCAAGAAUAGAGGACAACUUUACAAGGCUAUACAAGCUUUAGGAAAGAGACAAAGGCUUGAGUUACAUGUAACAAGUCAUAGUUUGGCAUGGCAUGAGCAAGUCUGGAACUUGAGUGGUGCUUCCAGUUCCUUUUGCAACAAAGCACAGUUUGAAAUUACAGUUGAUUCGUAACUUGCGUGGGAGUUAGGUUCCAAGGACUGCACAUAAAGCUGAAAUUGAGUAUAGCCAGAACUACCCCAGAACAGAAAUGGCAUAAUAAAGAUAAGGAGGUAAAAUCAGUAAUGAUACAUUGGGCUAAAGAUAUUGCACAUAAUAUACAGGUAGAAGAUUGGGAGAGGUUAUGGAAUGAAGGUAUUAAUUUUAUAGCAUGCAGUACGCUUAAAGAAAAUGUUAUGAAAAUGAUGUACAGGUGGUAUUUAACACCAGUUAAACUGGCCAAAAUGUAUAGAACAAAAAAUGAAUGUUGGAAAUGUAAGGAAAAGGAAGGUACUUUUUACCAUAUGUGGUGGACAUGCAAACAGGUAAAAGCUUUCUGGGAAAUGAUAUAUAAUGAGUUAAAGAAAAUGUUUAAAAACACUUUUGUUAAAAAAACAGAAGCUUUCUUAUUGGGUAUAAUGGGUAGAGAGAUACCGAGACAAGAUAAAAAAACUGUUCUCAUAUGCAACAACUGCGGCAAUAAUGUUGUUAGCCCAAAGAUGGAAACAACAGGAGUUACCAACAAAAGAAGAGUGGCAGAUGAAAAUGAUGGACUUUGCAGAACUGGCGAAACUGAUGGGAAGAAUCUGGAACCAGUGAAACCAAGCAUUCCCAAAGGACUGGAACAAAUUUAUAUUAUAUUUGAAAAACAACUGUAAGCAAUUAUCAUCAUUAGCAGGGUUAUCUGAAGAUUUGUAAGAUGAAAUUGCUACCUAUUCAGGUUGAGUAAUAUAAUAUUUUAGGUAAUGCUAUAACAAGGAUAGGAAACGAAGUGAAAUGUAAAGAUGUAAAGUUUAAUUUUGUAAACUAUCAGAUGGGGAGGGAAGUCGUUAGGCUCAGUUGAGCCAAAGAGAUAAAAUAAGAGGGUACGAUGUUACGUAAUGUGAUUAUAUGUAAAACCAAUAAAACUCAUUUAUAUAAAAAAAGAACUACCCCAGAAUAGCCCCUAUGUGACCACCCCUACCUUUCUGGAACACCAAGUGGGCCUUGACUCUGCCUUGUUUACCAGGUUCUGGGAAGGUCUCACAUGGGCUCUGCGGACCUUUGCAGGAUUUCAGGCAGCCCUGCAAGAUCUCUCAAGGCCUUCCCAAAGCCCAGUAAACAAGGCAGAGAGCUUAAAAGCUCUUUCUGUACCAGGAAAACCCAGCACAGCAAAAGCUUCUCCACCUUGUGUGUGCAUUUGCGUGAUUAUGUGCUGGCCGGCCACGAAGCUUGUAAAGCUGUAAUCGUGCAAGUUAAAUGUGUGCAAGUUGCAAGCCUACUAUACUUCCAAAAUGGUAAACUAUGGUUGACCCAUUCCCUCCAAACCAAAAUCAAACUGUGGCUUGCAUUCUGGUUCAGUGGGAAAGAAACACAAACCAUAGUUUGGUAGCUUGGAUGGAACUAUGGUUUGCUGUGAAGGAGGAAGUGCAGGGAAGGAAAGAGGGCAGGAGGGUGUGCAUGAAGCUGAAGCUGAUAUGUAAAGUCAAAUUGAUUUAGUGCUAUAUUUGGGCUGGUUCAGCUGCAUUUUUUUUGGCUGUGAGAACUCUUACAAAUUUAGAAGAGGUCAAGAGAAAAUGACACAAUUAAUACACCCAAAUGUACAUGGAACACAUUCCACACCACAUGGCAAAAUGAAGCCUUUUAGCAACAGAAAGCUGUUUAAUCUUUAUUAAAUGACACAAAAUACCUGUAUAAUACUCACUUUUUUAAAAGGACAUGUAUUUACAUUAUUUACCAAAGAAGAGAGACUCUGUACCCACUCACCAACUUCUUAUGAAACAUUUGGAAAAAAAUUUUUUUUUUGCAUUUAAGGGCACAGUGCUGACAUGUCCCAUUUACAGAUCUGUGUAAGUAGAAUAUUUAUAUGAAGUGAACAAGCACAUAUUAUAAACAACCUACUGAAGAGUUUUCUUUAAAAGGAACAGGGUCAUUUCUUCCUCCCACGCUUGUCUACCCUUCCCUCCUGCAAACUCCAAAGGUACUCUUCUGAAGAAUGUUGUUGUUGUCGUUCAGUCUUCUUACUUGUGCUUGACUCUCCGUGAUCCCAUGAACCAGAGCAUGCCUUGGAAUUUCUUCUCAAAGCUUCUACUUUUGUCCGUGGAGUGUUCAUGGCAACUGAAGAAUGUAUUUAUACAAAAAGUAGAUUAUUAUUAUUAUUUUAAAUUCAGUUUUUAUUGAUUUUUAUUUUUAUUAAUAAUAUUUAUUAAUAAUAUUUUUAUUAUUUUUAUUAUUUUUUUAUUAUUUUAUUUAUUAUUUUUAUUAUUACACAUACACAUAGAAUACAUACACUCAUUAUACAUUUAUCCAUCCACCUAAGCCUUAAGCUCUGCUGAGCUUCAGACUUCCCUCCGUCUCUUCGGUAAGUAUCAUAUAGUUAUAACAUCGCGUAUUCUAUCUAAUACUAUUUUGUCUUAUGUUGUUAGAGUUACUCCAACCCUGCCAGUGUCUUUAAAGUUUUACAAUUUUCUCUUACACAUACCAAAUAUUUACUCCAAUUUUCAGCAAACUUCUUUUCAUCUUGGUCCCGUAUUUUUCCUGACAAUCUAGCCAAUUCUGCGUAAUUCAUCAUUUUAGUCUGCCAUUCCAUGAUUGUAGGUAUAGUAUCACUUUUCCAGUUCUGGACCAACAUAGUUCUAGCUGCUGUCGUGGCGUACAGGAAAAGAUUUUUAUCCUUCUUUUUAAUUUCCUUCCCUGUCAAUCCCAAUAAAAAGGCUUCAGGUUUUUUUUAGAAAAGUGUACUUAAAGAUUUUUUUAAGCUCAUUAUAUAUUGAUUCCCAAAAACCCUUCACUUUCCCACAAACCCACCACAUAUGAUCUAAAUCUCCUUCUGCCUCACCACACUUCCAACACUUCCUAUUUUUUAUUUUAUACAUCUUUGCCAAUUUUACCUGCGUGAGGUACCACCUAUAUAUCAUUUUCCACAUAUUUUCCUGUAAAGCCGUACACUUCGUAAAUUUCAUAUUGACAUUCCAUAAUUCACGCCACGCUUCUAAUUCUAUAUUAUAUCCAAAAUCCAUGGCCCACUUAAUCAUGGCUUCUUUUACCUCCUCAUCUUUAGUAAACCAGUCCAGUAAUAAGUCAUACAUUUUGGACAAAAGUUUGUUGUUACCUUCUAUAAUAUCGAUUUGAAAUUUUGAUUUCUUUUCCUCAAAUCCCAAUCUUUUUUUAUCCUCUUUUAGUAUCUCAUUAACUUGGUGGUGUUGUAACCACCCUGUCAGUAGGUUCUUUAUUUCUUCAUACGCCUUUAACUUAAUCCCCUGCUCCGUUUUCAUAACAAACUCUUCAUAAGUAGCUCUCUUUCCCUCCAUAUUAGGUUUUUUGUAAUUAAUACGUCAGUUGGUGAGAUCCACUAGGGGGUUUUCUUUUCUAACAAAUUUUUAUUUCUUUCCCAAACAUCAUAUAUAGGUCCUCUAAUUAUAUGAUUUAAGAAACCCCUGUGGAUUUUUGCUUUACCAUACCACAGGUACGAGUGCCACCCAUACCUGUUGUCAAAUCCUUCUAAAUCUAGAAGGUCCGUAUUCUCUAGUUUUAUCGAAUCUCUUAUCCAUAUUAAGCAAGCUGCUUCAUAAUAAAGACUCAUGUCUGGCAAGGAAAAGCCGCCUCUUUCUUUUUUGUCCACUAAGAUCUUCAUUUUUAUUCUUGGUCUCUUUCCCUGUCAGACAAAUCUUGCCAAUAUUUUCUGCCAUUCUUUACAUUGUUUCAACCCUUUGAUCAUUGGUACUGUUUGGAAUAAGAAUAGCAUUCUAGGUAAAACAUUCAUUUUAAUCACUGAUAUUCUCCCUAAAAAAGAGAGUCUCAGUCUAUUCCAAAUAUCCAAGUCUUUCUUCAUUUCUCUCCAUGGGGUCUCAUAGUUAUCUUUAUAUAGAUUUAUAUUUUUUGCUGUCAACCAUAUUCCCAGAUAUUUGACUUUCUUAGCCGCUGUGAUUCCUGUCUCUUGUUGCAGUUCUUCUGUUUCUUCUUUGCUUAUGUUCUUCACUAACAUUUUAGUCUUGUUCUUAUUAAGUUUAAACCCCGCUACUUUGCCAAAUUCUUCUAUUUUUUGUAGUGCCUCUUUUAAGCUUUUAUUUGGAUCUUCCAAAGUUAAUACUAUAUCAUCCGCAAACGCUUUUAUUUUAAAUUCUUUAUGUCCAACCUUAAUCCCUUUAAUUUCUGGAUUUUCUCUCAUGGUCUUGUUGAGUACCUCUAGUACAGUUAUAAAGAACAGGGGGGAUAGAGGACACCCCUGUCCCGUCCCUUUUGAGAUAUCAAAAGUCUCCGAAACAUUAUUAUUUAUAAUGAGUUUGGCUGUUUGAUUGUGAUAUAUGGCUUCUACACCCUUCAUAAAUUCCUUUCCUAUCCCCAUUAUUUUUAAGUUCUUUUUCAUAAAUCGCCAGGAGACAUUAUCAAAUGCUUUCUCCGCGUCAAUGAAAAUCAACGCUGCUUGUUUAUCAAUUUUGUUUUCUAAAUAUUCGAUAAUAUCUACUACCAUUCUCACAUUAUCUUUCAGCUGUCUCCCCGGCAAAAAACCAGCUUGAUCUUUAUGGAUUACUUUGUUUAGAAGCCUUUUCAGUCUUUCUGCCAAAACAUCUGCAAAUAAUUUAUAGUCAUUAUUCAGUAAUGAAAUGGGCCUGUAAUUUCUAACCUCUAGGCCAUCAGUAUCUUUUUGGGGGAUUAGGGUUAUAUAGGCUUCUUUCCACGUAUUUGGGAUUUUGCCUUUUUUCAAGAUAUUGUUCAUAACCUCACAUAAUACUGGUGUUAUUUGAUCACAUAAUAUUUUAUAAUAUUUAGCUGGCACCGCCGCAAAAGGCUGCUGAACACGCCCCCUCGAAGGCACCUGGUUGGAUGCCUGCCAAGGGGGCGUGGGCGCCAGCCAGGUGAGAGGAGGAGGCAGGGGGCUAAUGCCCCCUGCUAGGGGCAGUGCUCGGGCUCCCGCCCACAACCACUCCCCUCUCUUCCAGGGAGGAGAGUCUUUCUGUGAUCGUCUUCUUUCUCUUUCUUGUAUAACUCUUUAUAGUAUUUUUGGAAAGCCCUUCUUAUCUCUUUGGGAUCUUCUAUUAUCUUUUCUCCCUCUCUUAUUUUACAUAUUAUAUUAUAUUUUGUUUUUGUCUUGCCUUUAAUUGCCAUGCCAGAUAUUUUCCUAUUUUGUUAGCAGACUCGAAGUUCUUUUAAUUUUAUAAUGAAUGAUUUUAGAGUGUUGUUUGUGUUGUACUUUUGUACUGUUUUAUUGUUGUUAGCCGCCCUGAGCCCGGCUUCGGCUGGGGAGGGCGGGAUAUAAAUAACAUUUAUUAUUAUUAUUAUUAUUAUUAUUAUUAUUAUUAUUAUUUUGCCUCAUCAUUUUAAUUCUCCACUCUACUUCCUGAUUCACCACCGUGGAAAACUGAGUUUGCAACAUCUUUAUAUUUUGUUUUAUUUUUUCAUCGUUUGGUUUAAUUGUUAUCAAUCUCUCAUUCUCCACGAGGUGUGCUAAUAAUAAUAAUAAUAAUAAUAAUUUAUUAUUUGUACCCCGCCCAUCUGGCUGGGUUUCCCCAGCCACUCUGGGCGGCUUCCAUAGAAACAAAAAAUACAGUAAAAUAUCACAGAUUAAAAGCUUCCCUGAACAGGGCUGCCUUAAGAUGCCCUCUAAAUGUCAGGUAGUUAUUUAUUGCUUUGACAUCUGAUGGGAGGGCGUUCCACAGGGCGGGCGCCACUACCGAGAAGGCCCUCUGCCUGGUUCCCUGUAGCUUUGCUUCUCGCAAUGAGGGAACCGCCAGAAGGCCCUCGGCGCUGGACCUCAGCGUCCGGGCAGAGCGAUGGGGGUGGAGACGCUCCUUCAGGUAUACUGGGCCGAGGCCGUUUAGGGCUUUAAAGGUCAACACCAACACUUUGAAUUGUGCUCGGAAACGUACUGGGAGCCAAUGUAGGUCUUUCAAGACCGGUGUUAUGUGGUCUCGGCGGCCGCCCCAGUCACCAGUCUAGCUGCCGCAUUCUGGAUUAAUUGUAGUUUCCGGGUCACCUUCAAAGGUAGCCCCACGUAGAGCGCAUUGCAGUAGUCCAAGCGGGAGAUAACCAGAGCAUGCACCACUCUGGCGAGACAGUCCGCGGGCAGGUAGGGUCUCAGCCUGCGUACCAGGUGGAGUUGGUAGACAGCUGCCCUGGAUACAGAAUUGACCUGUGCCUCCAUGGACAGCUGUGAGUCCAAAAUGACUCCCAGGCUGCGCACCUGGUCCUUCAGGGGCACAGUUACCCUAUUCAGGACCAGGGAGUCCUCCACACCAGCCCGCCCCUGUCUCCCAAAAACAAUACUUCUGUCUUGUCAGGAUUCAACUUCAAUCCAUUAGCCGCCAUCCAUCCUCCAACCGCCUCCAGGCACUCACACAGGACCUUCACCGCCUUCACUGGUUCUGAUUUGAAAGAGAGGUAGAGCUGGGUAUCAUCUGCAUAUUGAUGGACACCCAGUCCAAAUCCCCUGAUGAUCUCUCCCAGCAGCUUCAUAUAGAUGUUAAAAGCAUGGGGAGAGGACGGAACCCUGAGGCACCCCACAGAGUGAGGGCCCAGGGGUCUGAACACUCAUCCCCCACCACCACUUUCUGAACACGGCCCAGGAGGAAGGAGCGAAACCACUGUAUAACAGUGCCCCCAGCUCCCAGCCCCUCUAGACGGUCCAGAAGGAUGUUAUGGUCGAUUGUAUCAAAGGCCGCUGAGAGAUCCAGCAGAACCAGGAAACAACUCUCACCUUUGUCCCUAGCUCGCCGGAGAUCAUCAACCAGUGCGACCAAGGCAGUUUCAGUCCCAUGGUGAGGCCUGAAUCCCGAUUGGAAGGGAUCCAAAUGGUCCGCAUCCUCCAGGCGUGCCUGGAGUUGUUCAGCAACCACGCGCUCAAUCACCUUGCCCAAGAAUGGAAGAUUUGAGACUGGGCGAUAGUUGGCCAUACUGGCCGGGUCUAAAGAUGGUUUUUUAAGAAGCAGUUUAAUGACCGCCUCUUUCAGCGGAUCUGGGAAUGUUCCCUCACAGAGGGAAGCAUUCACCACCCCGCAGAGCCCAUCGCCCAGCCCUUCCCAGCUUGCUUUUAUUAGCCAGGAUGGGCAAGGAUCAAGGAGACAGGUGGUUGCUUUCACGCGUCCAAGCAGCCUGUCCACAUCCUCGGGGGUAACGGAUUGAAAUUGAUUCCAUGCAACGGAUUGAAAUUGAUUCCAUGCAACUUGACCAGACAGAGCUCUAGCACUCUCCCGCCCUGGCCCUGCUCCCACGGUGGUGUCUAGCUCCUUCCGAAUAUGAGUGAUUUUAUCUGCAAAAAACUUUGCAAAAUCGUUGCAGGAGAUCUUGGGGUCUUUACAAUGCCCCGGUGGUAAAGGUGGUUCCGUUAAAUUGCGAACCACCUGAAAGAGUCUCCUGCUACUAUUUUCUGCAGAUGCAAUAGAGGCGGUGAAGAAAGUCUUCUUCGCCGUCGCUAUCGCCACUUGGUAGGCUCGACGUUGAGCUCUAACCUGUGUCCGGUCAGAGGUUUCCUCUUUUUUAUUUUCUCUCCCCCUUCUUUGAUGACUGUUUUUUUUGAAUCAAAAAGCCUCUCAUAACGGCUUUGCUUGCAUCCCAUACUAUUUCUAUGGGUGUUUCUUUAUUUAGGUUCCAGUUAAAAUAUUCUGUAAUUGUUUCUUUCGCUUUAUCUAUUAUCUUCUGAUGAUUAAAGAGGCUUUCAUUCAUUCUCCAUCUAAAUGAUGAAGGGUCUUUUCCUCUCACCUCCAAAUACACCGGAUUAUGGUCAGAUAAAGUCCGUGGCAGGAUUUCUGGUUUAAAUGACCUCGGGACUAAUUCUUUUGAUUUCCAGAUGUAGUCUAAUCUUCCCCAGCUUUGAUUUGGACUCGAGAAAAAGGUGGGUUGUUUCAUUGUGGGGUUUUUAAGUCUCCAUAUAUCUAUUAGUCCCGUGGGAUCCACCAGGUCAAAAAAUGACCUGGGUAGUUUACCCUUAUUUGUAUCUCUUUUUCUUACAGAUCUAUCCAAAUCUGGGAUGACCACACCAUUAAGAUCUCCCAUUAAUAACAUUUUGUUUUAAAGAGAAAGCCUUAGAGAAGUUAAGAGACCAGGACACACAUAUAUACAUGCAAACACAGAAAAAUGAGCAUCUAAAAGAGAACAAGAAUGUAAAACUACAGCUAAAGUAAACUUAUAAUUUGCUAUUUUUAAAAAGUUAACUAUAUGUACGUUGGCACCAUCAUGUAAGCUAGAGAACAGAACAAUCUUUGGAAUACAUUUGCCAUUAGUUUUGAAACAAAAUGGUCAGUGUUUUCCUUAAAUUUAUUUAAACCAGGCAAGAAAAAAUAAAUUCAUCCUGUUGGGUAUAAAGAUUUUUUUUAAAAAAUCCCCAAAACUAAAAUAUUUUUCAGCAUAUAUCACAUCGCACAGCUGUGAGUCAUGAAGGCAGCUCCCUGCAAGGCAGUUUCCACCUGGCCUAGGGGGCGGGGCCCAGACUCACCAGCUCUACUAAAGAGGCCCCUGGGGAGACCAGAGGGACAUCCCUAUGCCUGACAACAAAUCCUAAUUAUUGGAUUCUUUUGCCCCGUCUUUUUUUGCCUGCCAAACAGUUGUGUCAUGCUUAUAAUAUUUUAUUUUCUUGUUAAUUAUGCUGUUUUAAAUGUGCAUUUUAUAUUUGACUUCACUUAUCAAUGUUUUCUUUUGAAAUGUUUAAGAUUUAGUUUUUGGUUUUUGCUCAUUUUGUUUGUGUUAAAUAUGUAUUCUGUGUUUGACCUCCUUUGUAAUGUUUUAUUUUGAAAUCUUUGAGAUGGCAUUUUGGUGUCAUCUUAAUUGUGUUGCUUUGACUGUGUACUUUAUAUUUGACUUUCUUCAGAAAUGUUUGAUUCUGCAUUGUUUUAUUGAUAUUUAAUAUGCUGUAAACCGCUUUGAGAUUUUUCUUAAAAAUUUAAAGCAGUAUAGAAAUGAAAUAAUAAUAAUAUUUUUUAAAAAAUAAACAAGGUUGUAAUAAAUUGCAUGCAACAGAGGAAAGUUUUAAAAGUUUAUUGCAAAACAAGCUGUGUUGUCACAGUCUGAGCCCACUACAAGAAAAUGUAUUCAUAUAUCUAUCAUAAAUACAUUUAUGGCUCAAAAAGCAGGCACAUGACCCCAGCAAAACAAAGUUGCUGGAUGAUAUGUCUGGAAAGUAGUUUUUGCCAUAGCUCAACAUCAGACACAGGCAAAAAGGGAAAGUGAUUUCAUAAUGCUCAUUGGGGAAAUAUUAGAAAUGAUGGGUAUAGCUUGUUUCCUGCCAUGCUAGCAUAAGCAGGCUCUGCUAAUGUUGUUCUUGGUUCAUAUUAUAGACUGCUUUUAGAAGAUGUUUUUGUAAAAAUGUGACAGCUGAAUGGAACAAUCCCAGUUGUUGACCUAUUUCAAAAUAUGAGAUGUCCAUGGAUUUUAAUGUAGUUUCAAAAAACAUCUUACCCCAAAUAUUUGGUUUGCUUUAGUUGAAAUUCACCUUUAAAAAGUGAACAAUUCUCUCUCCCCCUCCCUCCAAAAAGCAUUUAAAUCAUAAGCCUCAUUUCAUUGUAUGUACCAGACACACCAAUAACAUUUCAUUUUCAUCCUGUCCCCAUUUUGAACUUUUCCUCCAAACUUCUUCUUCAUACACAAUACUGUUUUCAUUAAACAAUGUUAAUUCAGGGAAUCAUGUUUUAGAACCAUGAUAUAUAGGAGCGGCAGGGGGGAAAGAUAAUCAACAACUGGUACACAAAUACCUUUUAAAAAACACUCCUGUGAUUAAUUCUCCUCAAAAGAUCCCAAAUCUCACUUGACCUAGCAAUUAUUACUCACUGUCCUGUAAAUUGCAGGCUCCUGUGCUUAAAAUGGGUCUGUUUUGCUGCAAAUAUUACACUACCACCAUCACCCCGGUUCUAGGUGAGCAGGUCAGCAUGUAGCUGGAUGAUUAACUAUUUCAUGGGUGGGUGAGAAAGACAAAAAGUAUGAAGGUUAACCAUCAAAAUAUUUUUUUGUCUUGCGUUAGUUGUGGGCAGCUUUGGAAGGUCACCUGUGGUAAGCAAUAAUUGCUUCAUGCCCUGAUAGAAUUGCUCAGCUUUUGUUAAACAAGAGCUGCAUCAGAAGCCUGAAGAGAAUGGUGAGAAUAAAUACCAUUUGUAAAAAAAAUGUUCCAAAAAAAGCAUUGCAUGUCGAGACCCCGAGGCCACCCCCCUUUGAUGAAUAAGACACAAGGACACAAAUAUUAGGUUAAAGCAGGCAUAGGCAAACUCCAGCCCUUCAGGUGUAUGGGACUACAAUUCCCAUCAUCCUUAGCUAACAGGACCAGUGGUCAGGGAUGAUGCAAAUUGUAGUCCCAAACAUCUGGAGGGCCGGAGUUUGCCUAUGUCUGGGUUAAAGGUUAUUAGGCAAAUUUAGGCCACAACUUUAUUGGUUACAGAAUGUUAGCAGUAUUGGCUUAGGCAUUGGAAUUGAUCUGACUAUAUUUGACUCCUGCCCGCCCUGCAGGGAGUCCUGCAAGGGUCACCAAUCAAUAGGCAAGCACUGUCACACCAAAUGCAUCUCUCCAAGAGUAGAGACCAAAUAACAGUCACUUUUGGGAACUCCAAUGCAAAUUCGUCUAAGUCCCUUCUGAUGUUCAAAAGCAAGUCCACGCCUUUCCAACAAGGUAAAUCGUUUUCUCCCAGCUGCAAAACCAAGGAGUUAGGAGGGCCCUGUGCAGCAGCCCUGGCCUUCACAAUCGGCAGCAUCUCAUCCCAACGCAUUCCAUGCCUCGAUAUCCAGGAAACUCUGAUGUGCUCAGGCAAACCCAGCUGGCACCCCAGGCCACUGCCAGCCGCACGCACACAAGCCCAAUGAUGUAUCCCACAAUCCAAAUCUUAAUGCUCUUUGCCUCUGGAAAGUAAGAAAUGACAGUGACGGAUUAGAAUUGGCAUGCCUCAGAUUACAAGCUGUCACGGAUAUAGCCCUUGAAAGCAUCAGACCGCCACCGCCCCAUGUCCUUUAUCCUGUCUGCUGGCAAACCCCAGUGGGCUGCCAUUAUGGCGGCUCCAAUCCUAAAAGAAUGAUUGCGCACAAUAUGUUCUUGUAGGACCUGAGCGAAGAGGGUGCAACUGAAGCCAAUACUCCCUGCAUCACGUCUCAUUUCCAAGGCUCCAUAGAUGCUCUGGGAUGUUAAACUGCAGGCACCACAAGACGAAUAAGCAAAGCAAACACGAAACCCUUUCAGAACGUGACGACUGCCUAGCCAGGGCAUUGACUACGGACUGGAUAUCGGUCUAAAAGUAGGCAUGGUGACCUCUGAAUUCCUCAGUCCAUAGGUGAACUACUACUAAUAUGGGAAAAAUUCCAAGAACAUUAAAUCACAGGUAAUGGACUUACCACGCCAGCCGGCGAGCCAUUGCUAGUGUGCUGGACCCGGGGGGGGGGUUUACCGAGAGGUGUGGUCAGAGUCCGGUCCUGGGUUGAGGGUCUGGAGACUGUCCACCAAGGGUGAAGCGGGGUCCAAAGCAAGAAGCCGGGCGUGGUCGGGAACUCCAGAAGAACAGGUCUGGGUGCUGGCAGAAACAGGUUUCCAAUGAUGUUGCUCCAGCAACCUGGGACUGGGCUGACUGGCCUUUAUCUCCUCUAAGGCCAGGGGCGGUCCCGGCCCACAGGUGACCUGCCUCUCCUGGCCUUAAGGCGAGCACUCCUCCUGAGAGAACCCAGUUCUUUCCGCCUCUCUGCCCUGAGCCUCUGCAGCUCAGGAGAGGCUGGAGGGUUACUGGACCCAGGAGCAGCUUCACCUUCCCCUGACAGGGCUGGGAGAGGCGCACCUGCAGGCAAUGGGUCCUCAAUCACCUCCGGUGCCAGAGUGGAUGCAUCUGGUGUCUGCUCCUGAGGAUCCGGCACAGGUGCAGGCCCUUCAGAUUCAAGCCCCUGCCCCAGCUCAGCCGGCCCUGGAGGCGGGGACUCCUGUGCAGGCUGGGACUCCUCAGAUUCAGCUUCUGAAUCAGAUUCCCAGGCCAUCACACCUAGGCGCACCUUUGAAGAAUACACCAAAGCCCAGGGAUCCUGCUGUGUCCGAAUGAACCUGAAAAUCUGUGGAUAGCCUUAAAGCGUCCUGCCAAAGGGAUAUCCCAUUGUAUUUUCCCAAAAACAGUAGCCAAACCUGAAGGUCCCAUCUUACUGACUUGGGGAGGCACACCCUGUGAUUGAAGCCCCGCAGAUAGCCUAGCCAGACGUGAGCAGAAAGGACGUCCGGGGGCCACUACACGAGAAGCAAAGUUCAAAAUGUCCCAGCAAGGAUUGAAUUUGCCUGAGAGUAACUUUUUAAGUGGGGGAAAUUGAGAAAUUGAUGCCUUAAGGGCACCAGGAUCCGAAAUCCCAGGGAGAAACCCAUCACAAAGGUUAUAAGCUGCAUCCUUAUUUGGGUAAAUGUCCAAAAGGGGUCUUAAGUGCCGGCUGCCUGAUGGGUGAAAAUGCGAGGGUAAGGGAUUACUGCCUACAGGCACCUGUGGGUGCAAGGGGGGCACCCCAUGCAUUCUGCUGGUGAUACCCCCUGCCCCCCAAAAGGACUGCUUACCUUUGAAGGACACUGCCGGGUGGCUACCUAGGCAUCUGUCACACUCAUGAGAGUACCUACAAUUCUGCCUCUGGCAGAGGCCUUUAUUGAACUCCCAACAUACUAUGUGGCGGGGUCCCUUCUGGCAUCUGAUUUGCCUAAUUUACUAGUUUCCAGUGGUUUCUUUUCAAUAUGAGGCGCCACAACCAUGAGCCAAAUAUGCUGGUCCACUCAAUCCCAGCGUGAACUAGGUAACAAUGCAGCAUUCCUGCAGAAAGUCUCAUCAUAUGUUAUUGCAGCUGCCUCACCCGCCAUAGCAUAGGCCAUCUGCACAUGUGACGGGUAGACAAUUAGGUGCAAGGCUCGCUUUGGAUAGGCCUGUUAGGAUAUUUCCGUUCCACCUUAAAAGGGAGCAGGCUGUGAGUCAGAGUCUGCGUAUUUCCUGUUCACAGGAUGUUUAUGUUUGCUAUUGCUUUCGUUUUCUCUCGGUGUCGUAGACACUAAAGCAGGCAGUCAUGUUUUCUGUGUUCUGAUCAACGCUGAAUAAACUUGUAAAUAAUGCUCUCCUGAGUGCAACUUUUUGGCUGUGCAUUAUCUGCUGAUAGAGCGUGCAUGAGCUCUGGAAUGUGGCAAGAUAUUUUCUAGAAACUCAUGUCGCUGCGAGCCUACGGGAGGUUGAUGGAUCGUCCGGCAGACAGCUUGGGGGCCUUGAUGGACUUUAUCUCCCUGGCAGUAUCCCAACAACAGGUUACGGGCCCAGAUUCACAGCACUUACAGGAGAGUAAGACUGCGACAGACUGCUGAAAGGUAUGUGGAGGAAAAGCGAAAGUCCCUUUGAUGUCCGGCAGGCCUAAUUGGAUCUGGGAGCCGCGCCAAAGGCUUCGUGAUUAAUGGGAGCCAAGAUAAGGAGUCUCUGAAGUGAAUAAGACUCACGGCUCAAAUAAAGCUGGAAUGGAGUUUUUCCAAGCUUCUGAGGCUGCUGAGUGCCCAAAGUUAAAUCGGCACAAUUAUGGGACCUGGGCUGUGUGGUGUGAGAGCUUGCUUCGAAAGUUUGGAGUGUGGCAUACUGUGUGUGAGGCCCCUCCAGUUCCUCUGACAGAUAGAUGGAGGGCCGAAAAUUCGAAGGCGAUAGACAUAAUAGUCUUGUCCGUCUCUCUAGAGGAAAUAAAAACGCUUGCUGGCAACAUGACUGCACGUAAGAUGUGGAAUGCUUUGAAAGUAGCCCAUCUGCCAAUCAUCCCAGCCCAGAGUUUGACUGCAUCGGAGGUCCUGGCUGUUUCCCAGAAUGCGAGUGAAUGCAGGGAUGCCGAGGGCACCGGUUGCAAGCUGCAGGGGGAGCUGACUGUCACGUCAUCCCAGGCAGCAUUCCAGCCUCCAGGGGGAGCCAAGGAGUCGGCAGCUGAGAGCUCUGUUUCUCAUGGGAGCCAAGGUCAUCGCCUUUGCAGAGGCCGGAAGGGCAAAGGUAAACAGGCGCCUGCAGAUGGCCAGAAGCAAAGGGAGGGUGAAGAGCCCACGCCAGAGGAAAACAAGGCUUUGUUUGCUGGCACAGCUUCACCAAAGGAUAAAGGCAAGUCUGAUGGCCAGGAGCAGGGGGGCAAGAUGCAAAAGCCCACGCCAGUGGAAAACAAGGUUUUGUUUGCUGGCACAGCUUCACCAAAGGCUAAAGGCAAGUCUGAUGGCCAGGAGCAGGGGGGCAAGCUGCAAAAGCCCAUGCCGGUGGAAAACAAGGUUUUGCUUGCUGCAAAGGCUGCUCCAAAGGCCAAAGCCAGGUUUGUUGUUGAUUCAGGCUGUACCCGCCAUGUCUCAAAGGACCGCCACCUCUUUAUCUCCUUCAAACCUCAAGAAGGUGAGAUCCACCUGGCUGAUGGAAAGACGUUGCGAAUUGCAGGAGAAGGGACUGUGAAACUGGCAAGUCUGCACACUACCAUCAAAGAUGUACUAUAUGUUCCAGGUGCUGCAGACAAUUUGCUCAGUGUCCCGCAGUUGACUGGGCGUGGUUUUGAGAUUUCCUUCAAGAGGAGCAUCUGUGUCAUCAGAAAAGGCAAAGAGGACAUUUUGCAUGCAAAGUUUAUGGAUGGCUUGUUCUGUAUAACUUAUGAGGACAUUGGUGCUGUUGUGUCUAAUGUUGAUUCUUGUUGUGUUGCACAAACUAACAAAGUUCUUCAUGCAGGAUGCAUUCACGAUGCACACAGAAGGUUUUGUCAUCUCUCUUGGAAGGCACUGGCCAAGAUGCCAGAGAUGGUUGAGGGUUUGAACAUCAAACCCUGUAAGUUUCACAUGAAAUGUGUAUCUUGUGCAGAGAACAAGGUGAAGGUUGCUCCAAAAGGCAAGGAGUCUAGCAGGCAGGCUUCCAAACCCUACCAGCUAGUGCACGCAGACCUGGUUGGUCCACUUGCGCCCUCUUUGGGUGGAGCAAGGUACUUCAUGGUUCUAAUUGACUCUUUUUCCAGGUACAUUCAUGUGUUUAUGCUCGAGCAGAAAUUGCAAGCGUUUCCUAAGUUCAAGGCAUUCUGUGCUUGGUUGGAGAAUGUUCACAGUAAACGUAUUGGCUGUCUGUUUACUGAUCGAGGCGGGGAGUUCACUUCUCAGCAGUUUGAAGCUUUCCUGACUGAGAAGGGAAUCCAGCAUGACUUGUCAACGCCUAGCUCGCCAUGGAUGAAUGGGCUUGCGGAGCGAGCAAAUCAAACGUUGCUGCAAGGAAUGAAAACAUUGUUGCAUGAUGCCAAUCUCCCUGAUAAGUUUUGGGGGGAGGCUCUGUCGAAUUUUGUUUACACUUUUAAUCGCAGAUUGUCAUCACCUAUUGGUUGUACUCCCUAUGAGAAGAUGUUUGGUAAGAAACCCAACAUCAAACACAUGAGAAUCUUUGGUUCUGACAUGUGGGUACACACCCCACAGAGCAACAAGCUUGGGAAGCGUGGGGCACAUGGUUUGUUCAUGGGGUACGAAAAGGUGCAUACAGGGUAUGGAUGACCAACUCUAAGUCCAUUAAGUUCACUAAGAGUGUUGAGUACAAUCCUAAGUGGGGGGGAAAUGUGGGAAUUUUCCAGAGUUACCCAGAGGAGGAUGAAGGUGAUGUCAAAGAAGCAGCUAAAGCUGAGGAAGCUGCUGAGGAUAAUGAUGACGAUGAUGAUCAGAGUUCGGAUUCCAGUUCAGUGGGCGGCGCUGCUGCUGGUGUCAGUGACAGUGAUGACACAGCAGACUACAAGAGCGCAAAGGCCUCAGUCAGACCAUCUGAUGCGUCUGACAAUGAACUGGAAGAACCACUGUUCACCAUUGGUCACUUUUCUCCUAAGAAAGAGGAGAUGAGUCCAGAAGACUUGCGUCUAGUAUGCAGAUCUGAGAGAGCCACGAAGGGCAGACCUCCAAAGAGAUUUGCUGAUGAGUUUGCUAAGAUGGCAACUGCUGUAGCUCAGAGAAGGUAUGGGAACCUUCAAGCUUCAAAGAGGUUCAGGAGUUAACCUCUAAAGAUGCUGAGCCUUGGCUUAAUGCCAUGAAGGCUGAAGUUGAUUCCUUGAAUAGGAACCAAACUUGGGAACUGGUACCGGUUGUCCCAGGAAUGAGACUGGUUGGCAGCAAAUGGGUCUUCAAGGCCAAGACAGACCAGAAUGGCAAGGUAGUUAGACACAAAGCCAGAUUGGUUGCCAGAGGUUUUUCACAGGUACCAGGACAGGAUUACCAUGAGACCUACUCACCCACAGUCAAGUAUGAGAGCAUUCGGCUGAUGCUCAAGAUCGCUGCGGAGGAGAAACUGCAUGUUUCCCAUCAUGACAUUAAUACAGCUUUUUUGUACGGGAUUUUGGAGGAGGAGCUGUUUAUGCUUCCACCUGACGGGAUGCAGAUACAGAAGGGAAUGGUCUGUAAACUGCGGAAAUCCUUAUAUGGUCUCAAGCAGAGUGCUAGGUGUUGGAACACAAAACUCACUGAGACGUUGCUUUCUAGGUUUUCACCAGGGCAAAGCUGAUCCAUGUGUGUUUGUCAAGGAGGAGGGGCAAAACAAACUGUAUUGUUUAUGUUUUGUUGAUGAUCUUCUGAUGUUUUGGAAGAAUCAGGCUUUGUACCAAAGCACCCUAGCUCAGCUGAAGGAGCACUUUGACAUGAAGGAUCUUGGUGAGGUAUCCAACUAUCUUUCUCUGCAGGUGGAGAGGGACCAAGCAGGUAAUUUUCUGGUACACCAAACACAGAAAAUUGCUGAUGUUUUAACCAGGUUGAAUUUGGUUGAUGCAAACCCAGCAGACACACCGAUGGUGACAGGUUACCAGGUAGAUAGUACUGCUGAAGCGUUUUCUGACACAAUGCUGUACAGAUGCAUUCUAGGCAAGUUGAAUUUCAUUGCUAGAUGCUCAAGACCUGACAUAGCUGUAAGCACUAACUUGCUUAGCAGACAUGCCAACAAUCCUACUGUUCAGGAUUGGAAAGCUCUGAAGCGCAUAGCCCGCUAUUUGAAAGGGACUUUGCACUACAGGCUGAGGUUCACCAGUCAGAAGACUGGAGGUCUUGAAAUCUUUGCAGAUGCAAGUUUUGGAAGUGACACCACGGAUGGUACAAGCACUUCUGGAGUAUGCUACAUGUACAACCACUGCCUGUUUGACUGGUUGUGCAAAAAGCAGACGACAGUGAGCCUAAGUUCCUGUGAAGCAGAACUCAAUGCUCUGUCAUUUUCACUCAUGGAUUGUGAAUGGUUGAUGCAACUGUUUAAGGACAUCAGAGUUUCUGUGAAAUGUCCUGUACAAGUGUAUCAAGACAAUAGAUCGUGUUUGGCUUUGCUGAACUCAGAGAGUUGCAAGCAAAGAACCAAGUACUUGCAGAUUAAGCUACAUCGUGCAAGAGAGUGUAUUCAGAAAGGACUCAUUCAGGUGUCCUACAUGCCAGGAAAUGAAAUUCCUGCUGAUCUGUUGUCUAAGGUUGUUAACAGAGAACAACUUAAGGUUUACGUACAAAGGUUGCAAUUGGGUUGAACCACAGGUACUACAGGUUACACGGAAAGGGGGAGGAUGUUAGGAUAUUUCCGUUCCACCUUAAAAGGGAGCAGGC